UAUUCAAUUUCAUUUUUCACAGCUGGUGCCUAUCCUUAUUAUUUUGGCACCUCUAACCUAGCAUGUGUUAUAAAGGAGACUAUAGGCAGGAAAAAACGUAGUUUUCCCUCAAGGGGAACUUGGAGUUUAACCCACCGUUUCAUUGAGUAUCGAGGGAAAUACUAUGAUUUUCAAGCUAAUUCCAGAGUGGCAAUCUCUAAAAAACGAUUAUGGGGGAGUGCAUGUAGCGGGGGUCGAGAAUCAUCCCCAGCUGGGUACAGCGAGCUCAGUUCAGAAUGUAUUGAUGGAUGUGCCAGGAAUUACAGAUGUUUUUACCACAAUUACAACAUCUUCACCAACAACUGCCAUCACUUUGCCAACAAGAUAUCUGAAGUUUUAUGUAGAAGAGGUACAACCUGCCCUGCCUGGUGUGAAGGAAGCUGUAACGAUGCGGUGUACAUUGAGUGAUGAAAUUUUGAUAUGGAAUCACGUUGAGUGCCACCUUUUGGUGUUUUUAAAUGCUUCAUAGAUAAACAAUUAAAUAAAGAUGACUUAUUUGGUAAAGAGAAACGCUUAAAUCUCCUAUACUCCUGAUUUGAAUUGUGCUUGAAAUAAACCUAUA